GUAUCCUACGGGAGGCAGCAGUGGGGGAUAUUGCACAAUGGGGGAAACCCUGAUGCAGCGACGCCGCGUGAGUGAAGAAGUAUUUCGGUAUGUAAAGCUCUCUCGGCAGGGAAGAAAAAAAUGACAGUACCUGACUAAGAAGCCCCGGCUAACUACGCGCCAGCAGCCGCGGUAAUACGUAGGGGGCAAGCGUUAUCCGGAUUUACUGGGUGUAAAGGGAGCGUAGGUGGCAGGGCAAGUCAGAUGUGAAAACCCGGGGCUCAACUCCGGGAGUGCAUUUGAAACUGUCCAGCUAGAGUGCAGGG
rnacentral:rRNA from 1 species